UACGUAGGGUGCGAGCGUUGUCCGGAAUUAUUGGGCGUAAAGGGCUCGUAGGCGGUCUGUCACGUCGGGAGUGAAAACUCGGGGCUUAACCCCGAGCCUGCUUCCGAUACGGGCAGACUAGAGGUAUGCAGGGGGAGAACGGAAUUCCUGGUGUAGCGGUGAAAUGCGCAGAUAUCAGGAGGAACACCGGUGGCGAAGGCGGUCUCUGGGCAUUACCUGACGCUGAGGAGCGAAAGUGUGGGGAGCGAACAGG
rnacentral:rRNA from 1 species